UCUCUUAACCACUUUUCAUUUAUAAGGAAAUAGCUUCUGAGAUAAAGGGAUCAUUAUACCUUCUGCUUUUAGGGUUUGUCUCCAGCUCAACUCCUUUGUCAGAGGACUGGAGGAAUUGUGUUGAACAAAAGGACUCUACCCCUAUCUUCUUCAACAGAUUCACCUCUCUGCUCAUCCCUCUGUUCUGAGAUGCUGAGCGUGUCCACAUCUCCAGUUUCCGUGGAGGUCUCUCUAGAGUGGACCUGAUGCGUGAGUGACAGACCAAAGCUAGUUCAUGGAGCCCUGUGGAAAUAGGUGUAAGCGUCAAGAGCUCAUCAACGUCUGGCCAAACAAUAUCCCAGAACUAAAGAGAUGCACAUAUUUUGUCUGCUUUAGUCUCUCAUGCCCCUGAGGCAGUGCUGUUAACAGCUCUGGUUUGAAGGUAAGUGCAAAGCAUACCACGACAAGUUUGCUGUUCUUAAAGCUUAAGAUCAUCC
rnacentral:lncRNA from 1 species